GGGGGCAUAACUCAGUGGGAGAACAUCUGCCUUGCAUGCAGAAGGGCCCAGAUUCAAUCCCUGGCAUCUCCA